rnacentral:tmRNA from 3 species
GGGGAUGAAAGGCUUCGACGGAAGGCGACAGGUCCCGGACGGCGAGCCGAGGUGCGUCGCCUCGUAAAACAGGCGCAAAAAGAUAAGUGCCAACAGCACGAAUGUUGCUGCCCUCCCCGUUGCUGCCUGAUGCAGCACGGAUAGGGCAACUGGUCUCCUGAGAAGCGAGGCCACGUCCGCCCACCCCGCCCCCCGACCGGGGUGGACCGGGCGCGACAAAGUCGGGGUGCCGCACGGGUGGGCCGCGACCCGUGCGUAAGACCAGCGGCUGGGCCGGGAUGCCCUUCUGUCGGUCGUAGGGCCCCGGCCGAGAGCCACGACCGACUACGCUCGUAGAAGUCCGAGGGCCGAACCUUCCGGACGCGGGUUCGAUUCCCGCCAUCUCCACCA